CAUGCAGUCGAACGGAGCUGAGAGGAGCUUGCUUUUCUCAGCUUAGUGGCGAACGGGUGAGUAACGCGUGAGUAACCUGCCCUGGAGUGGGGGACAACAGUUGGAAACGACUGCUAAUACCGCAUAAGCCCACGAUCCGGCAUCGGAUUGAGGGAAAAGGAUUUAUUCGCUUCAGGAUGGACUCGCGUCCAAUUAGCUAGUUGGUGAGGUAACGGCCCACCAAGGCGACGAUUGGUAGCCGGACUGAGAGGUUGAACGGCCACAUUGGGACUGAGACACGGCCCAGACUCCUACGGGAGGCAGCAGUGGGGGAUAUUGCACAAUGGGGGAAACCCUGAUGCAGCGACGCCGCGUGGAGGAAGAAGGUUUUCGGAUUGUAAACUCCUGUCGUUAGGGACGAUAAUGACGGUACCUAACAAGAAAGCACCGGCUAACUACGUGCCAGCAGCCGCGGUAAAACGUAGGGUGCAAGCGUUGUCCGGAAUUACUGGGUGUAAAGGGAGCGCAGGCGGACCGGCAAGUUGGAAGUGAAAACUAUGGGUUCAACCCAUAAAUUGCUUUCAAAACUGCUGGCCUUGAGUAGUGCAGAGGUAGGUGGAAUUCCCGGUGUAGCGGUGGAAUGCGUAGAUAUCGGGAGGAACACCAGUGGCGAAGGCGACCUACUGGGCACCAACUGACGCUGAGGCUCGAAAGCAUGGGUAGCAAACAGGAUUAGAUACCCUGGUAGUCCAUGCCGUAAACGAUGAUUACUAGGUGUUGGAGGAUUGACCCCUUCAGUGCCGCAGUUAACACAAUAAGUAAUCCACCUGGGGAGUACGACCGCAAGGUUGAAA
rnacentral:rRNA from 1 species